UACGAAGGGUGCAAGCGUUACUCGGAAUUACUGGGCGUAAAGCGUGCGUAGGUGGUUUGUUAAGUCUGAUGUGAAAGCCCUGGGCUCAACCUGGGAACGGCAUUGGAUACUGGCUUACUAGAGUGCGGUAGAGGGUAGUGGAAUUCCCGGUGUAGCAGUGAAAUGCGUAGAUAUCGGGAGGAACAUCUGUGGCGAAGGCGACUACCUGGACCAGCACUGACACUGAGGCACGAAAGCGUGGGGAGCAAACAGGAUUAGAUACCCGAGUAGU
rnacentral:rRNA from 1 species